GGGCAAACGAAACGACGUGAAAUCAAAACUUCCGGAGCAGCUUCUCGGAAUUGAUUCCCAAUCUUUCAAGUUUAGUGAACAGAAAACGACCCAAAUUAUCAAAUCAACAUGAUGGGAAUGCGAACAAACAUAUUCAACGAGAACUUCCUGAAUGAAACCGAUCAGGACGCAAAUUCGGUCUUGAUUGAGCUUGACAAAGGUCUGAGAUCGACGAAAACCGGCGAACAGUGCGAAGCGAUCAUCCGAUUCCCGAAACUGUUCGAGAAGUAUCCAUUUCCCAUUCUUAUAAACUCCUCCUUCCUGAAGCUGGCGGAGUUUUUCCGCAUCGGUUCUAAUUUAUCCCGGUUGUGGGUUUUGCGAGUAUGUCAGCAAAGCGAAAAGCAUCUUGAGAAAAUCCUGAACGUCGACGAAUUUGUCAAGCGUAUAUUUAUGGUUAUUCAUUCGAACGAUCCGGUGGCCCGGGCUCUCACAUUGAGAACAUUGGGUGCCGUGGCAUGUGUCAUUCCCGAGAAACAACAGGUUCAUCACGCUAUCCGGAACGCUUUGGACAGUCACGACACCGUGGAAGUUGAGGCAGCCAUCUACGCCAGUGUACAGUUUGCCGCGCAAUCAAAGUCAUUUGCCGUUGGAAUGUGCUCGAAAGUAGCAUCUAUGAUUGAAUCUCUGCAAACUCCCGUUAGUAUGAAAAUAUUGCUUAUUCCGGUGCUGCGUCAUAUGUACCAUGAUGCAAAUACUGCAGCUCUGGUGCGGACGCUGUGUCAUAAUCUGCUUCCAAAGUAUCCUUCAGAGCAGUUUGUUAUUGCAAUUAUACAAUCGCUGUCGCAUCUCUCAUACGUCACAUCAGUUGACAUUCCCGAUCAAGUGGAUUUGCUGUUGGUGUAUUUGAAGGAUCCUCGUAAGAAGGUACAGCUAGCUGUUCUACAAUCGUUAAACAAGCUAGCCGGAAAAGGAGCAUAUCUUUGGCCUAAAAGUGCCAUCAAUAAAUUGCUGACAUUGACAAUGCAGUGUAGUUACACCAAUAUGGCCCUGGAUGUAGUAAUAACAUUAACCGGAUGUCCAACAACCUGUCACACCAUGCUAAACGAAGAGCGAAAUCAAAUAUUGGAGAUGUGCAAAAGUUGCUUGCUGUUGGAGCAUAACGUAGGAGGAAAAGCGUUAACCAUCCUGACGAAAUUAGUGUCUUAUUGCUGCACAGAGAACAUUGCACCACCAACAUGUUUCGUAGAGCAUCUAAACAUGAAUCUUGAAUACUUGAUUCACUCGGCAUUGCACAACAAAGCUCCAUUGAAGGAUUUUCGUAUCUACCUAAGAUGCGGCAUACAGCUGUCGAGGGUAAACCAAGCUUUCGGAGAGAACUUUGCAGAAACCAUUGCAGAACUACUGGUCGAGAACUCAGCUCAUUCGGCAUCCCAUCUCAAGCUUAUUUGUGAAGCGCUUGGAGCAAUUUGCUCCAGUUUUACCACCAACUACGAAGAAAAUCAGUCUCAAAAUACAAACGAAUCGAAACAUCCUUUCGACGCGAUUUUGUUACCUAUUUUGAAGAAGCUCGAAUCGUACACUGAGCUGCGAACUCUUGAUCGUAAUGAUACCACAAUCGUUGAACUACUAGCAUCGAUUUGCCUCCAGGCCGUGCUUGGAUCAUCUAUGCCUCACCGACUGAUGAAAGCUUUUAAUAAUCUUUUGAAAAUUUGCAACUAUUGGACACAAUAUAGAUUUGCUCGUUCAGCAUCAAGAUACGGACAACACUUUCUUGCUGCAAUAAUCUAUCUAAAGCUGUCAAAACACGUGUCCCACGAAAAACUUCAUUUCUAUCUAAUCGCAAUGAGUCAAAUUUCGAAAGCUGAAUGUGUUUUGAAUCACGGUUUGCUCUAUGAGCAAAUGGUUCAAACCUUUCCGGAACCUGUACAGGUCGAUGCUCCUCAGCUUUCUUUGCUAGAUCGUCUUGACAGGUCUAUCAAUUUAUACUGCAUGGCUUUGUCGACGCUUAAGGCAACAUCGUCCCCUCAGCAUCCUAUGACGUUCCAAUCUGAAGUGAUUAAUCUCAGAUGUCAGUUUCUUCAAAUGUUGCACAGUAUCGUUGUUUCUAGAAACACAUUAUGCAUCACACCUCCAUCGGCAAUUUCGAGUACAUUGGCGCAAAAUUUGAGAGAUCCACUGCAAAAGUUCGGACAUGUUACUAAUCAUCUGCGAAAGGACAUCAAGAUUCUCAAAUCAUGCGAAGAAGCGUACGCUAAGCUGUAUAAAAGUUCAUUCGAUGCAGAUCCAUGCACUUUGGAGUACCUCAGUAGUGUACAAUACCUAUGCUCGAUAUUACAAUCAUCUAUUGAGACUAUCUCGUUUACAACACCUUCAGAAACUUUCAAACAUCCACCAAGCGUCACCUAUCCCGAAACCAAGUAUUUGCUCUACAUUUGCCAAAUAGUGUCUAAACAGUUGCAAACAUUGCCUAAUGAAAUCGGAUCAACCAAGUCGAUCACUAAUAAUCAUAUGGACGUAUUGCUAAAAACAGGUGGAAAUUGUCGUCAAAUCAUCGCUGUGCGUGCCAAGAUUUUUUUUCCAAGUUUUACAAAACACAUCGGUGAAACUGGCAUUAACCCCUCAACCGCGAAUAUCAGGAGAGCCAAUAUUUGUUCAACCAAAUAGUAAUUUGGUUGUUAAAGUAGAGGGUGUGAUCCAGCACUACGGCAAAAAGCCGUCUCUGUUCCGGUCGAUUGAUUCCAUUCAACUGACCUUAUCAUCUCAGCUGAUGACUGCUAGAAUGAAUGACGUUAAAGUUAGCUUCGAUAAUGUAAUUUUAACACAAGUGGUAAAACCACACCGUGAUUUUCUCAGCGGAAACUUUCUACUGUCGCUCCAAAACACCAUACAAUCCUAUCCUGGAUCAUCAGUUUCUGUUGGCGGGCAAUGGCAAGUGACGCUUGAAGCGUGCGUCAUUGAUCAGAAUGGAAUUAUUUGGGCCACAGGUCCUAAAAGCAUGCUUCACGUGCGUAUUCCGGAAGACAACCUCAAACAAGGCAUCAAUAUUCAAUCUUCAACACGUCGAUUUUGAACGGUUACAGGAUCAUGAGCCGAAUUACUCAGAUUUGCAGACUGGAUUCUCAUAUAAUCCGCGGCGCAGGAAAUUCUAGACAGGGUUUCCAUAUAACUAUUGGUAUUAUUUUGACAAAAUAAAAACUGUUUGGGUUUCUGAUAUAA